rnacentral:snRNA from 1 species
AUCACUUCUUGGAUUUGGCUAAGAUCAAGUGUAGUAUUUGUUUUUAUCAGGUUAAUAUCUGAUACAUCCUUAUCCCAGAACAACAUAUUAAAUGGAUUUUUGGAGUAGGUAGAUGGGACAGGUGCUCACUUCAUCCAUUCCUAGCACUGACCUGGUGUUGCAGUAACUCUAGGCAUGGUACACCUGUC